UACAGAGGGGGCAAGCGUUAUUCGGAAUUAUUGGGCGUAAAGGGCGCGUAGGCGGCCUUGCAAGUGACGGGUGAAAUCCCUCGGCUUAACCGAGGAACUGCCUGUCAAACUGCGUGGCUUGAGACCGGGAGAGGUGAGUGGAAUUCCCAGUGUAGCGGUGAAAUGCGUAGAUAUUGGGAGGAACACCAGUGGCGAAGGCGGCUCACUGGACCGGUACUGACGCUGAUGCGCGAAAGCGUGGGGAGCAAACAGG
rnacentral:rRNA from 1 species